UAAUACAGAGGUCUCAAGCGUUGUUCGGAAUCACUGGGCGUAAAGGGUGCGCAGGUGGUCAUGUAAGUCAAAUGUGAAAGACUGGGGCUCAACCUCAGAUUUGCAUGUGAUACUGCGUGACUUGAGAACUGAAGAGGGAUCUUGAAUUCACGGUGUAGCAGUGAAAUGCGUAGAUAUCGUGAGGAACACCAAAGGCGAAAGCAGGAUCCUGGUCAGCUUCUGACACUCAUGCACGAAGGCUAGGGGAGCAAACGGG
rnacentral:rRNA from 1 species